UGUCUAUCAAAACAUCAUGUGAUAAUGAGACCCAAAGGGGGCAACUGGAUUGCAUCUUUCCUGGGUGCUGUGACUGAACUUUUGGGUGACAUCAAUGUGUUUACUGCCUCUUCUCUGUUGCAGGAUGCGAUUGAAUCCCUAUGGGGGAGAGAGAAUUGUGAUUUAACUUCUCAAAAAUGUGUCUGGGAGAAGUGAAGAGUCUGAUUUCAGAGAAGUUCUCUAUAUCUUCCUAUUAAAACACCAAUUGCCUUAACUAGUUUAAUAAUAAUAGUUAGCACUUACACUGUGCUUUUCAUCUGCAGUGCUUUAUGCACAUUAAGCCUUACUUUAUUCCCAUGGAGUAGGUGUAGUAGCCAUCUCUCCUCUCAUUUGGCAGAUGAGAAAAUGGAGACAGAGCAGGUAAAUGAAUUGCCCAGGUCCAUAGAUGAAGAUGAUACUUGUGGUCAGAAGUUCUCUGCUGCUACGUUUAUGCUCAGACCACAAAGAGGACCCUGAUUGCACAUCUCUGCAAUGUUGUAUGGGUUCAAUCAUCAGAAAUGGCAAAUUAUUUCAAGAAAGACUGAUUCUCACAGUGUUCACAUCCUGGCUGGCACCGCUAGACAUCUGAGAAGGAGGAAGACAUCUUACAUGACUUUAGCAGAUGCAAAAGGUUUGGCGGGUAUGAGAAAAAAACUACAACAUAAAAAAUGCAACUAGGAGAUUACUGAUUAAAAGUGAAGAGUACAAGACUGGAACAACUGUUAGGCGAGGCAAUUGCUGAAGAUAAUUCAAGGCAAGCUAGAGUUCCCUGGGCGCACAUGAAGUACAAAGUGUUCUCAGUGCAAAGCCACAUAAGUCACCUGAUCGCUGAAUUAGAUUUAUGCAGCAAAAAUGCCAAUUGUUUGCAAAUGUCCUGAUUUGAAAAAAUAAAGGUUCAAACCUUAUUUUAUUAUUUUACUGAGAGAUUCAAAUGGACUGCAGUUAUAGGCAGCCUUGCAACCCAUGUAAAUGUCUACAUGUAAGUCCAUUACAUUGUGUUACAUUUUAUGUCAUUCAAGUAUCCAAGAGAAGGGGAACAUUUAAGGCCUGGUCUUAGGAGGUGCCGACAUGCCUCAUUCCCUAGUAAACUCAAAAUCUUGUGGAAUUGUGUCCUUAAUUUGCCUGCAAAGUAUUUCUUCAAAGUGAGUUUUAAAAUGGCAAAACAAUGUUAUCCAGCACUCUAACAAUUAAGCUCCCCUUGGUGACUUAACUGUGCUGUACCUAUGAAAUAAAGCAUAUGAAUAUAUGGGACCUUAUGACA